GUUGUUCAAGGCAGAGCAACAACUCCAUAUUUGUGGAAUAGUCAAAAAACAAGAAGACUUUUUCGAGCAACGGCAAAAUAUAGAGACUUUUGUGUGGUGGUGCGAGGAGCCACCCAGUAAAUUGCGUCGUUAGCAAAGAGUUUUGUGAAUUUUUCGGUCGGGUUUUUGAAUAACCGGACAACAGCGCUUGAAGACAUCUUCCAAAAAGAUUAUUCUAAAGGGAACUUGCGUCGACCACUCUUUUUAGAGCUUGUUUGGUGGUACCCUAACAAUUUCAUUGUUUCUUUCUAACGGUAAAUUAAAACCGCGUUCAAAAUGGCACUCUCUGUCGAAACCCAAGCCAGCCAAACCAGGCCCAAGAGCGAAUCCUACAACCACAG
rnacentral:sRNA from 1 species